CGUACACUCCUACGGGAGGCAGCAGUGGGGAAUAUUGCACAAUGGGCGCAAGCCUGAUGCAGCCAUGCCGCGUGUAUGAAGAAGGCCUUCGGGUUGUAAAGUACUUUCAGCGGGGAGGAAGGCAAUACGGUUAAUAACCGUGUUGAUUGACGUUACCCGCAGAAGAAGCACCGGCUAACUCCGUGCCAGCAGCCGCGGUAAUACGGAGGGUGCAAGCGUUAAUCGGAAUUACUGGGCGUAAAGCGCACGCAGGCGGUCUGUCAAGUCGGAUGUGAAAUCCCCGGGCUCAACCUGGGAACUGCAUUCGAAACUGGCAGGCUUGAGUCUUGUAGAGGGGGGUAGAAUUCCAGGUGUAGCGGUGAAAUGCGUAGAGAUCUGGAGGAAUACCGGUGGCGAAGGCGGCCCCCUGGACAAAGACUGACGCUCAGGUGCGAAAGCGUGGGGAGCAAACAGGAUUAGAAACCCGGGUAGUCCC
rnacentral:rRNA from 1 species